AAACAAGCUUGUCUUUACUGAAGGACUGGACAUAGACUUCAUCACCACUACUGAUGGGCCCCAUCAGUAAGAAAAAUCAGGGAGGAAUUCAAAAAUAUCCACCACGAAUUAGAUCCGUGGCAUGUUUCAAAAGGCAUUAAAAAGAAACUUAUAACACUCGUCAACAAAAGGGACAACUGGGACCUGCAGGGCUGGCUUCGCUCGAUCCUCAAUCAUUUUUGGUUCACUUGCUCAUCUUGCGGUGGGAGUGCAGAGGAACUGAAACGACGGUGGACCUCAUUCCUACACCAUAUAUGUGGGGAGCAAACAUGGAAGCAAGACAGCAAAAAGUGGGCAUGCCCUCACCCUGCCCUAAGCCCAGAUGAGGAAAGGAAUAAGCAAUGGCUCCACCCAGAUUCCCGAGCGGUCAAGGGUCUACUGUCAGUUGUCAAAGAUAAAAGACUUCUGAAAGACCUUGAGCAGAUGACUCACUUUAAACAUACUGGUUCUUUGGAGGUGUACCACAAUCUUAUGCUGAAGUAUUUGCCUAAACGACUGCAUUUUGGUUAUGAUACCAUGGUAGCCCGAACACAACUAGCCAUCCUGGACAACAACUACAAUGUAGGCAGAGAGCAGGCAGUGACUUCACAAGGGACUCCAAGAUUCAGUCUGUCAUUCACUAAACAGAGCAAGGAAUGGGUGGCAAAGAAAAUCUACGAGCUACAAGUCAGUACUUCACCAACCACCUGGUGAAAUGUGUGUUGGAGAGAAGGGAGGAAAAAAACAGAAGACAUACCGCAUGUUCAGCAGCCUACAAACAUUGCCACUAAGCAAAGACCCCUAAGGAAGAAGUAAUAGGAAAGCAUCAAACAAGAUUCCUCAGCCACGCAGAUACUUGAAACCUAAGCAUCUGUACAAUUACAAACUCUUUCAUUCACUUCUCACUUUAUUUUUUACAGUGCGAAAAUAGUUUUAUACAGUGUGAUGUGCAUUUUAUUUACAAAAAAACUGAAAAGAUAAGAAAUAACAGCUUUUGUUGAAAUGAAGUUUGUUGUUCAGUUCAGAGGUCAGAAUAAAUCCUCUAUCUCCCUCGCUGUGAAUCCUGCAUACUGUCCAGUGGGGAAUGGAAACGCGUCUCUCAUGGCCCACACCACACAACUAGGCAGUGCAGCUCGAUUUCCACGUCCAAGUUGUUGAUCCUUGAGGGCCCACUCCAGAAUCACUCUUUAUGCCACCAGUCGGUAUUGUCUGAAAGUAACAUGGAUGUUGCACAGAUUCUGCAUCAGUAAACCAUGAUGACAAGAUAGCAGGGAAUAACACAAUGUUUAUUUUCAAGGGGCUGCUGCUAUAGCCUAGCCUAUGUAGCCUACGUGUAUUUAGCCCAAACAUAUGCUGUGACUUGGACGGACUUCUGAAAUAGACAUUCGUUACAUCAAAGAGCAAAAAGGUUACAUAGCGUGAAAAUUCUCAGAAAAGGAGCAGUGGUCACA